CGAGCACGCGCGUGUGGCAUAUCAAUAAGCGGAGGAAAAGAAACUAACAAGGAUUCCCUUAGUAACGGCGAGUGAAGCGGGAAGAGCUCAAAUUUGAAAUCUUCAAGGUUCUACCUUGACGAAUUGUAGUUUAUAGAAGUGUUUUCUGUUAGUAGAGUGGCAAAAGUUCUCUGGAAUAGGACAUCAUAGAGGGUGAGAAUCCCGUAUUUGGUCAUUCCUUCCUAGCUUUGUGAUACACUUUCAACGAGUCGGAUUGUUUGGGAAUGCAGUCCAAAAUGGGUGGUAAAUUUCAUCUAAAGCUAAGUAUUGGCGAGAGACCGAUAGCGAACAAGUACCGUGAGGGAAAGAUGAAAAGAACUUUGAAAAGAGAGUUAAACAGUACGUGAAAUUGUCAAAAGGGAAGCGUUUGACACCAGUGUUGUUUUUCCGAAAAUCAAUUACGAAUGUUUUAUUUUUGAGGAAGUUAUGACUUCAUCGGCUUGCUCUCUUCUUUACUGAAACUUUCUUAAUGCACUUUUCGGUUAACAAGUCAACAUCAAUUUCUUUUGUUGUAAAAGGGUAUGAGGAAGGUGGCUUUCUUUUCGGAGAGAGUGUUUAUAGCCUUGUACCUCUGCAAUCGGAGAGAUUGAGGUCUGCAGCGUAGAUCCUUCGGGGUUAGAUACAGUUUGUGCUAAGUUAUAGCUUUUCAUAGACAACUUGUUGACUAUGUUUAGUCAUUGUAGGCUUACUCGCUUAUGCUAUUUUACCUACGCUUAGGAUGUUGAGUAGCGACAUACGCAC
rnacentral:rRNA from 1 species